rnacentral:rRNA from 1 species
GACGAACGCUGGCGGCGUGCUUAACACAUGCAAGUCGAACGAAGUGGCGAACGGGUGAGUAACGCGUAAUCCACCUGCCCUUCAGAGGGGGACAACAGUUGGAAACGACUGCUAAUACCGCAUACUGAAGGUGGGGAGUGCGUCUGGUUAGCUAGUUGGGGGGGUAACGGCCCACCAAGGCGAUGAGCAGGAGCCGGGCUGAGGGGGUGAACGGCCACAUUGGGACUGGGGAAACGGCCAGACGCCUUCGGGAGGCAGCCAGGGGGAAUCAUCCGCAAUGGGGGAAAGGCUGACGGAACAACGCCGCGGGAGUGAUGACGGCCUUCGGGUUGGAAAGCUCUGUUAAUCGGGACGCGGUACCGGAAUAGAAAGCCACGGCUAACUACGUGCCAGCAGCCGCGGUAAUUC